GAUGAACGCUGGCGGCGUGCCUAAUACAUGCAAGUCGAGCGAACAGACGAGGAGCUUGCUCCUCUGACGUUAGCGGCGGACGGGUGAGUAACACGUGGAUAACCUACCUAUAAGACUGGGAUAACUUCGGGAAACCGGAGCUAAUACCGGAUAAUAUAUUGAACCGCAUGGUUCAAUAGUGAAAGACGGUUUUGCUGUCACUUAUAGAUGGAUCCGCGCCGCAUUAGCUAGUUGGUAAGGUAACGGCUUACCAAGGCAACGAUGCGUAGCCGACCUGAGAGGGUGAUCGGCCACACUGGAACUUAGACACGGUCCAGACUCCUACGGGAGGCAGCAGUAGGGAAUCUUCCGCAAUGGGCGAAAGCUUGACGGAGCAACGCCGCGUGAGUGAUGAAGGUCUUCGGAUCGUAAAACUCUGUUAUUAGGGAAGAACAAAUGAGUAAGUAACUAUGCACGUCUUGACGGUACCUAAUCAGAAAGCCACGGCUAACUACGUG
rnacentral:rRNA from 1 species